rnacentral:rRNA from 1 species
CAGCCGCCACGGUAAUACGUAGGUGGCAAGCGUUGUCCGGUAUUAUUGGGCGUAAAGGGCUCGCAGGCGGUUUCUUAAGUCUGAUGUGAAAGCCCCCGGCUCAACCGGGGAGGGUCAUUGGAAACUGGGAAACUUGAGUGCAGAAGAGGAGAGUGGAAUUCCACGUGUAGCGGUGAAAUGCGUAGAGAUGUGGAGGAACACCAGUGGCGAAGGCGACUCUUUGGUCUGUAACUGACGCUGAGGAGCGAAAGCGUGGGGAGCGAACAGGAUUAGAUACCCCUGUAGUCCCUGUCUCUUAUAC